GAGUACUUUCCAUUAGCAUUGAACUGUUGAUUACAUAUAGUAUUAGUUAGAAAAUUAAAUGAAGGCUAAUAAUUAUUAAUACUGUAAUAAUUUAAACCAUUAUAGUAUAAGAUAAACUGGUGGUCAGUAAAGAAUAACAAUGUUUAUCAUUAUCCUAAAUCUUAAUUAAGUCAUUGAACAAACCUUCAGAUCAAUGAGUACCAGAUUGACAAUUAUAUGUAGUUUGCUUGUGUUAUGAUUUAAUCAAAGUGUUGCAUUUGUUUGCAUUUUGUAAUGUUGUUCCUUUGAUAUAGUAACUAAGAGCUAUCUCUAUUUACAAUAACUAUACACAUAUUUUCACACACGAAUUGAUUUUAGAAUCAGAACAUGAGAGCAGAUAAGCAGAUAAUCAAGAACAUUUACAAAAACCAUACACAAAAAUCAGACAAAAAACUUCAUACAAGAAUUUGUUUCAUUUAGUAGCUUCGUACUUGAUUUCUUAUUAGCAGAUUACAACUAUUGAAACAAUAAAUUGUUCUUUAAAGCAAAUCAUCAAACAGUUUCAAGACGUAUACCAAUGAUAAAGAAGCAGGAAAACUAACCUAAUAAGAACGAAGGGGGCGACAAUAGGACACAGUGGCAGUAGCGACGUCGACGAUGGAGGCGGGGUACGUUGACGUCGGCGAGGGCACGGUGACAGUGGCACAAAUCUGGGAGAGGGUGAGUGAUAGUGAGGGAAAGAGAGAUUGAGAUAGGUGAAAUAAAAUCAAAAUCCCUUACCUCUAUCGCAACGAUUUCCAGGCAAUGGCCUGGCGGAGGCAAGCUUCAAUCGCGGCGCCAAGAAAAUGGGGCGAGGGAGUUAAGGCGUCCAAGAGAGUAACUAACGUACGAGAGAAAUAGCGAUUGACGCACUGGAAAUCGGCCUCGCCGUGAGCGACAAUGAACGGCAGUCGCGCCGUGAGAGAGAGUAACUGCCGGCCGUGGAGGAAGAGAGUGAACAUUGGACGGC
rnacentral:lncRNA from 1 species